rnacentral:pre_miRNA from 1 species
AUAAUACUCCCUCCGUCCGGAAUUACUUAUCAUCAAAAUGGAUGUGUCUAGAACUAAAAUACAUCUAGAUACAUCCAUUUCAAUUACAAGUAUUUUCGGACAGAGGGAGUAGUAG